UACGAAGGGGGCUAGCGUUGUUCGGAAUUACUGGGUGUAAAGCGCGCGCAGGCGGUCCUUUAAGUCGGGGGUGAAAGCCCAGAGCUCAACUCUGGAACUGCCUUCGAAACUAGAGGACUUGGGUACGGGAGAGGUGAGUGGAAUUCCGAGUGUAGAGGUGAAAUUCGUAGAUAUUCGGAAGAACACCAGUGGCGAAGGCGGCUCACUGGCCCGUUACCGACGCUCAGGCGCGACAGCGUGGGGAGCAAACAGG
rnacentral:rRNA from 1 species